UACAGAGGUCUCAAGCGUUGUUCGGAUUCAUUGGGCGUAAAGGGUGCGUAGGCGGCGCGGUAAGUCGGGUGUGAAAUUUCGAGGCUUAACUUCGAAACUGCAUUCGAUACUGCCGUGCUAGAGGACUGGAGAGGAGACUGGAAUUUACGGUGUAGCGGUGAAAUGCGUAGAUAUCGUGAAGGAAGACCAGUGGCGAAGGCGGGUCUCUGGACAGUUCCUGACGCUGAGGCACGAAGGCCCAGGGGAGCAAACGGG
rnacentral:rRNA from 1 species